UUUGUUGCAGCUGUAUAGAGGAAUUGCAAGAUGAAGUCUACAGUUCUGAUGAGUGUUCAACAGAUACUUCAGACAUAACUGGAAAUGCAGUGUUACUGGACUCUGAUUCAAUGACAACACCCUACUGUCAAGCAGAGAUCUUUUCCAGUGUCGCCUGUCAAAUGGAGCAGAUGGAGUUACAAGGUCAAGUUGAGGGUCUUCAGCAUCAGAACAGACGCCUACUGGAGGAGAGUGCUAAACUACAGCACCAACUGGUUGCCCAGGAAGAUAAUCUGACUGCUGCAUCUAAUGAAAAAGACAAACUAACCAGGAAAAU